AUGACAUUUAUAUAAGCAAAAGUAUUUUUACUUAUUUUAUUUUUGAAAGGAUUCAAGUCCCAAAAUUUCACACUUUAGAGAAUUUAAAUUUACAAAUUUUCUGAAGUUUAUUUGGACUUAUUUGGAAUUAGGAAUCAAAAGUUAUUAAUAAAAAAAGAAAUGAAAAAAAAGAAAAGAAUGGACCGACCCAACUGGGCCGGCCCAUCUCCACCGAACGCCCCAGCCAGCCACGAGCACGAGCUCGUGCUUCCUCCUCCUCUGCAAGUAAGAAAUCCUUUCUUUCCGUAUUUUCUUUCUUCAAUUUCUUUCCUUUUCGCGCGUCUCUCUCCAAAAGGAAACCACCCCAUAAAUCCUCACCAUCCCGGGAACCCAUUCAGGAAAUCAAUUUGAAGUUUCCUCUAAUUAUCGCAGUUUCCAAAAUAGGUGCCCCGAAUGUCGGCCGUCGACAUCCACGCCCGAUCUCCCUCCUCGGCCACU
rnacentral:lncRNA from 1 species